CAUCCUAGUUAAUUUUAACCCCUACGGACUAGGACUGCAACAACAAUUUUUUUUCUUCUAAAUUUAUAUUUCUGUGGUAAAUAUUGUUUUGUACUGCAUCAUCCCCUUGGCUUCAUUCCUAAUGGGGGGGCUGCCAUGGGAUAACUUCCCCACCAACGGAGCUAACCCAGGGUAUUUACCGCCCAGUUCACUACUGUGGAUCUUCUGCGGCCGCUCCCCUAGAUCUUCCUUAUUG